rnacentral:rRNA from 1 species
UACGUAGGCAGCGAGCGUUGUUCGGAAUUACUGGGCGUAAAGAGUGUGUAGGCGGCGCUCUAAGUUCGGUGUGAAAUCUCUCGCUUAACUGGGAGGGUGCGCCGGAAACUGGAGUGCUCGAACGUGGGAGAGGAAAGCGGAAUUCCUGGUGUAGCGGUGAAAAUGCGUAGAUAUCAGGAGGAACACCUGCGGUGUAGACGGCUUUUCUGGACCAUUUGUUUGACGCUGAGACACGAAAAGCGUGGGGUAGCAAACAGG